GUCCGUCACGGCGUCGCCGGCGUUGUGCAUGCCAAACUCUGGCUGAAUCCUGGAAAGGUCGAUGCUAGCUCAGCUGUUGGGUUCUGCCCGUCAGUGUCUUGGGUUAUCUCUUCACCAGUGAGGAAAGGAUCAGCAUUCAGCGCCAAUCAGCUUCUUACCUGGCCCAUGGGUCAGCCUCUCAGCCUCGUAUCUUCCUGGCAUUUGCUUCUUCCCGGAUAGGAUCGC